AAACGUCCCAGUUCGGAUUGUAGUCUGCAACCCGCCUACAUGAAGUCGGAAUUGCUAGUAAUCGUGGAUCAGCAUGCCACGGUGAAUACGUUCCCGGGCCUUGUACACACCGCCCGUCAAACCAUGAGAGUUGGCAACACCCGAAGCCUGUAGCUUAACCGCAAGGAUGGCGCAGUCGAAGGUGGGGUCGAUGAUUAGGGUUAAGUCGUAACAAGGUACC
rnacentral:rRNA from 1 species